AUACGGAGGAUGCAAGCGUUAUCCGGAUUUAUUGGGUUUAAAGGGUGCGUAGGCGGAUGAUUAAGCGUGAGGUGAAAUGCCACUGCUCAACAGUGGAACUGCCUCGCGAACUGGUUGUCUUGAAUGCUCCUGCCGUGGGAGGAAUGUGUGGUGUAGCGGUGAAAUGCAUAGAGAUCACACAGAACACCGAUUGCGAAGGCAUCUCACGAAGGGGUGAUUGACGCUGAGGCACGAAAGCGUGGGGAUCAAACAGGAUUAGAUACCCUGGUAGUCCACGCAGUAAACGAUGAUAACUAACCGCUGGGUCGUAGUGAUUCAGUGGCCAAGCGAAAACGAUAAGUUAUCCACCUGGGGGGUACGACCGCAAGGUUGAAACUCAAAUGAAUUGACGGGG
rnacentral:rRNA from 1 species